CGCACGGGUGAGUAACACGUAUCCAACCUGCCGUCUACUCUUGGACAGCCUUCUGAAAGGAAGAUUAAUACAAGAUGGCAUCAUGAGUCCGCAUGUUCACAUGAUUAAAGGUAUUCCGGUAGACGAUGGGGAUGCGUUCCAUUAGAUAGUAGGCGGGGUAACGGCCCACCUAGUCUUCGAUGGAUAGGGGUUCUGAGAGGAAGGUCCCCCACAUCGGAACUGAGACACGGUCCAA
rnacentral:rRNA from 1 species